rnacentral:rRNA from 1 species
GACGUAGGGUGCAAGCGUUUGUCCGGAUUUACUGGGCGUAAAGAGCGCGUAGGCGGCUCGUUAAGUGAGAAGUGAAAGCUGUGGGCUCAACCCACAAACCGCUUUUCAUACUGGCGAGCUGGAGUGAUGCAGAGGUGGAUAGAAUUCCCGGUGUAGCGGUGAAAUGCGUUGAUAUCGGGGAGGAACACCAGUGGCGAAGGCGGCUCUCUGGACAGGUACUGACGCUGAGACGCGAAAGCGUGGGUAGCAAACAGG